CCCUCUCUCUCUCUAUAUAUAUAUUCCUAUGGAUUGAUGGGCUUCAUACAGACUUGAACUCCAUACUUGGGUUUUAUUGUGAGGACAAUAACAGGAGCAUGGCGAUAACUGUCUGAAAUAGUGAAGCUAAACCUUGAAAUCAACAUGGCUAAUAUGAUUUUAGCUUCCAUCAUAGCAAAAGUUUGGCCUAUACAAUUCCUGGGCCCAGCAGCAAAAGGGAUGAAAUGCCUGCCAGGAGCAAAUGACUUGGAAGCAAACCUGUCAGGAUUGAACUCAUUUGCAUCUUUUCCCCAUAACUCUUCACUAUGAUGAAUUGCAAGAACAGGAAUCCAAAUUGAUAGCCCCUUUGGUAUGUGAAGAUCUCCUAGCUUAAAAUCUUCAAAAGCCAUUCUAGGAAGCAGUGUAGCUGGAGGAUACAGCCUUAGUGAUUCAUUUAUCACCAUAUUGAGCACGGUGAGUUUGGGAAGAUGAUCAACCGAGGGGGUUUCACCAUUGCAGACCUGCUUGACCUCAGCUCGAACCUUUUCUUGCCAAGAAGGAUUACUAGCAAGAAGCAUGAAUGUCCAAGUGAGCAAUAGAGCAGUAGUUUCAUGUCCAGCAAAGAAGAAAGUUUUGCAUUCAUCCAUUAUCAAUUGUAGGUUCAAACUGAAAGAUCCAUUUCCUUUCUUCUUCUGCAUCUCAUUCAGAAGCAUUCCUAACAAAUCAUUCCCAUAAGAACUGCUCCUACCGAUCUCCACACAAUCUUUUCGGCUUUGUAUGAUCUCCAUUAGUAGUCUUUCUACCUCCAUCUUCAACGAUUUUAUCUCUCUGUUGUAUUUACUAGGAAAGAACCGACUUCCAGGAAAGCACAGGUGCCUGCUUGCUUGAGCACAGAGACGUUGAAGAACAGUUAAGAGAUGGAAUAUUUGCUUCCCUUUCUCAUAGCUACAAUCGAAUUCGGUUCUCGAAAUUAUAUCAGCAGUCAGUCUAGUCAUGCAUUCACCAAUCUCAAACUCAUUUUGGCCUGAUUCUACGGCAUUUUCCAGUGAUCGGAGCAUCUUCUUAGUGCAUUCCACCAUGUGCACAGAGUAGCUUUUCAGUCUCUCUCCCAUGAAUGCCGGCGCAACGAUAUGUCGUUGAUGAUACCAGUUAUCCCCGUUUGCCAUUAACAAGCCACCCCCGAUAAAAUGUUUUGAUCCUUGCUGUUGUAGCCAGGAUUUACCAGCUUUAAUGCUGUACUUUGUCAGAAGUUCUUUGAUCAAUUCUGUCUCUGUUAAGCAUAUGCGUGGUUCAAUCCCAUUCCAAUAUAUAAAUCUUUUCCCAUAUUGUUUAGACCAGGCAUUGUAAUGUGGCAAGAGGCGAGGAACGAUGUCAUGAUGAAUAGAAUCCAUGUCUUUGGAAGUAGAGUGGGAGACGAAGGAGGUCACGUCUAAGAUGUUGCCUGUAAGUGGCCGGGGUUCAGGACCACGUACACCUUGCUUCUCCAUAAUCUUCUUGAUGCGUCUUGGAAUUAGGAAGUAACAUGAGAUGGUGUCAUAUGCAAUUUUGAAGAAAAAAGAGAAGAAUACAAACAAUAGACUUGUCAAUGCCAUCAUCACCAUCCCUCUCUCUACUCUCUAUACCAAUAGAAUAGGAAAGCUGGUUUUUAUGAUUACGGGAGAGGGAGAGAUGGCUAGUUUUUAUUAGUGAAAGGUGUGGGAGGGGUCAUCAAUUUAUAUACAUAAG
rnacentral:misc_RNA from 1 species